rnacentral:rRNA from 1 species
GAUGAACGCUGGCGGCGUGCUUAACACAUGCAAGUCGAACGGAAAGACCCAAGCUUGCUUGGGUACUCGAGUGGCGAACGGGUGAGUAACACGUGGGUGAUCUGCCCUGCACUUCGGGUUAAGCAUGGGAAACUGGGUCUAAUACCGGAUAGGACGAUGGUAUGGAUGCCAUGGUGGAACGUUUUUACGGUGUGGGAUGAGGUCGCGGCCUAACAGCUUGUGGGUGGGGUACUGGCCUACCAAGGCGUCGACGGGUAGCCGGCCUGAGAGGGUGGACGGCCGCAUUAGGACCCAGCGGCAGCCCAGACUGGUGCAUGUGGGAGCAUGGGGGAAUGUUUCACCAUGCACUGCCGCGUGAAGCAGCGAGGCCGUCUGGGGGUAGACGGCCUUCGUGUUGUAAGAACCGUUCGCGGGUGACGCAGCGUUUUUAUGACGGUACCGGGAGAAGAAGCACCGGCUAACUACGUG